rnacentral:rRNA from 1 species
UACAGAGGUCUCGAGCGUUGUUCGGAUUCAUUGGGCGUAAAGGGUGCGUAGGUGGCGCUGUAAGUCGGGUGUGAAAUCCUGAGGCUUAACCUCGGAACUGCAUUCGAUACUGCGGCGCUUGAGGACUGGAGAGGAGACUGGAAUUCCCGGUGUAGCGGUGAAAUGCGCAGAUAUCGGGAGGAACACCAAUGGCGAAGGCAGCUCGCUGGGACGGUACUGACGCUGAGACGCGAAAGCGUGGGGAGCAAACAGG